rnacentral:rRNA from 1 species
UGGGGAAUCUUGGACAAUGGGUGAGAGCCUGAUCCAGCCAUGCCGCGUGCAGGAAGAAGGCGUUAUGCGUUGUAAACUGCUUUUGCCAGGGGAUAAAAAGACCGUGCGCGGUUAAUUGAAGGUACCUGGUGAAUAAGCCACGGCUAACUACGUGCCAGCAGCCGCGGUAAUACGUAGGUGGCAAGCGUUGUCCGGAUUUAUUGGGUUUAAAGGGUGCGUAGGUGGCCCUGUAAGUCAGUGGUGAAAUAUCUCAGCUUAACUGAGAGGGUGCCAUUGAUACUGCAGGGCUUGAGUACAGAUGAGGUAGGCGGAAUUGACGGUGUAGCGGUGAAAUGCAUAGAUAUCGUCAAGAACACCGAUAGCGAAGGCAGCUUACCAAGCUGUAACUGACACUGAGGCACGAAAGUGUGGGGAUCAAACAGGAUUAGAUACCCCUGUAGUCCCUGAGCGGGCUGGCAAGGCGCAU